rnacentral:rRNA from 1 species
CUGGAUUUGACAUGCAGUGGACCGCCACAGAAAUGUGGCUUUCUCGCAAGAGACUGCUGCACAGGUGCUGCAUGGCUGUCGUCAGCUCGUGCCGUGAGGUGUUGGGUUAAGUCCCGCAACGAGCGCAACCCUCGCCCUUAGUUGCCAGCAUUCAGUUGGGCACUCUAAGGGGACUGCCGGUGAUAAGCCGAGAGGAAGGUGGGGAUGACGUCAAGUCCUCAUGGCCCUUACGGGCUGGGCUACACACGUGCUACAAUGGUGGUGACAGUGGGCAGCGAGCACGCGAGUGUGAGCUAAUCUCCAAAAGCCAUCUCAGUUCGGAUUGCACUCUGCAACUCGAGUGCAUGAAGUUGGAAUCGCUAGUAAUCGCGGAUCAGCAUGCCGCGGUGAAUACGUUCCC